rnacentral:tRNA from 1 species
UGCCUGGUGGUCCAGUGGCUAAGACUCUGUACUCCCAAUGCAGGGGGCCCAGGUUCAAUCCCUGGUCAGGGAA